AAAGAAAAUACUAUGAAUGAAUGUUGUAAGGAAAACUAAUAAAUUCUUUGGCUUCUACUCGACGUCUUCCUGCAGAACAGGCUCGGGAACCAAGUCCUCCUGAUCUGAAAUGGUUAAGUAAGGAAUGAGCUACACUAGCCCAGUAAAGACAUCACACUAUCUCACUGUCACAGAAGUAAAGGUUGGUAGAAAACGAAAAUGACCAAUGGAGCAUGAUUUAUAAAAAACUCAUUUAUCAAUAAUAAA
rnacentral:lncRNA from 1 species